rnacentral:rRNA from 1 species
UGGGGAAUAUUGCACAAUGGGCGCAAGCCUGAUGCAGCAACGCCGCGUGAGGGAUGACGGCCUUCGGGUUGUAAACCUCUUUUAGCAGGGAAGAAGCGAAAGUGACGGUACCUGCAGAAAAAAGCACCGGCUAACUACGUGCCAGCAGCCGCGGUAAUACGUAGGGUGCAAGCGUUGUCCGGAAUUAUUGGGCGUAAAGAGCUCGUAGGCGGUCUGUCGCGUCUGCUGUGAAAUCCCGAGGCUCAACCUCGGGCCUGCAGUGGGUACGGGCAGACUAGAGUGCGGUAGGGGAGAAUGGAACUCCUGGUGUAGCGGUGGAAUGCGCAGAUAUCAGGAAGAACACCGAUGGCGAAGGCAGUUCUCUGGGCCGUAACUGACGCUGAGGAGCGAAAGCGUGGGGAGCGAACAGGAUUAGAUACCCUGGUAGUCCACGCCGUAAACGUUGGGCGCUAGAUGUGGGGACCAUUCCACGGUUUCCGUGUCGCAGCUAACGCAUUAAGCGCCCCGCCUGGGGAGUACGGCCGCAAGGCU